GGUCUUAUAGUCUAAAAAAGAUAUUAGGCUGCAAUCCUAAAGAUGUAUAAUUACUAAGGCUU
rnacentral:tRNA from 1 species